AUUGAACGCUGGCGACAUGCUUAACACAUGCAAGUCGAACGGCAGCACGAUGUGUAGCGAUACACAAGGGUGGCGAGUGGCGGACGGGUGAGUAACACGUAGGAAUCUGCCCUAGAGAGGGGGACAACCCGAGGAAACUCGGGCUAAUACCGCAUAAUUUCUGAGGAAGAAAGCGGGUUCAAGAGUAAAAUUUUGGACUGGCGCUUUAGGAGGAGCCUGCGUCUGAUUAGCUAGUUGGUAGGGUAAAAGCCUACCAAGGCGACGAUCAGUAGCUGGUCUGAGAGGAUGAUCAGCCACACUGGGACUGAGACACGGCCCAGACUCCUACGGGAGGCAGCAGUGGGGAAUAUUGGACAAUGGGGGCAACCCUGAUCCAGCAAUGCCGCGUGUGUGAAGAAGGCCUUCGGGUUGUAAAGCACUUUAGGUGGGGAAGAAGUUGUGUUGUUUAAGAGAUGAUACGAUUGACGGUACCCGCAGAAUAAGCACCGGCUAACUCUGUGCCAGCCGCCGCCGUAA
rnacentral:rRNA from 1 species